UUUAGUGGCAGUUAUGAAUCGAAUUUGGCGUAAGGACUGAAUUGAAGACGAUUGUUGGGGCUAUUGCUUCCACCAAAAAGGAAACCCCAAUUGCAAACUUUCUUGUGAGUUUUUAAGCUCAUAACAUUCUCCCAGGUCUGUCUCUCUUAUCUACGUCUAUUCAAAAAAAUUUAUGUUCCUGAUGUGUUUCAAUCCCAUUCAGUUUGAUAUCACCGAAUUUAGUUGGGGUUAGGAAAAACUGGGAUUAGAUUUAGGAUUAUAAUAAAUUGGCCAGUUGUUAAUGGAACUGCAAUUGGUUGAAAAGGGUUUUGAUUAUGCGUGUAAAAGGAAGAAAUGGAUCCUGAUUUUGUGUGCGGUUGGGUUGGGUGGGUACGGUGCUUACAGGGUUUAUCAUGCGCCUUCCAUAACUCGUAAGAGAAAAAAAAUUUCUAAGGUGAUGGGUGCAUUGGUUUCCGUAGCAGAAGCCAUAUCCGAAUCUGCAGAGACAAUUGGUGUGGUCUCCGGAGACAUGAAGGAUUUUUUGCAGUCUGAUUCGGAUGAAGUGCCCAAUAGCUUGAAGCAAAUUUCCAAAAUUGCUCGCUCUGAACACUUUUCAGAUUCUUUUGUCAGCGUAACCCGUGCUCUGACUGUGGGGGUCUUGCGUGGUUAUCAAUCUAUGAACCGGACCGAUGCUGAUCAAACCAGUACCGGUUCAAGUUCAACCGUCGUGGACCGGCUGCUGGACAAACUUCUAACACCAGCUGGGUCAGGCUUUGCUUCUGUAGUUCUCGGAAGCUUUGCUAGGAACCUGGUUCUUGCCUACUAUUCAGAUCCUAAUGCCCAUGCCCAUGCCCAUGCCCACUUUGGUGGAGAAUCGAAUUCAAGUAAUGCAACUAGUGGUGUUACACAUGUUGGCUCCAAGUCUGGUCCUGUUCCAACAUGGGUUGAUGUAGUUUGUGGUGAAAGGUGCGGGGAACUAAUUGGGAAUUGUGUCCAAUUGUUUGUGAGCACUGCUGUUGCUGUUUAUCUUGACAAGACCAUGGGUAUCAACCCCUAUGAUGAUUUCUUUGCUGGCUUAACUAACCCAAAGUAUGAGACUAGAAUGAGAGACAUACUUUUAUCUCUUUGUAAUGGUUCCAUAGAGACUCUCGUCAAAACAUCUCACCAAGUGUUAACGAGUUCAAAUCCCAAUGUUAAUUCAAGUUCACCUUCUUAUUUGGCUAUUGGAGAAACUCCAAGUCCAGCCAGAAAUGAGGACUUGGGUGUAGAAACAUCAUCAAUUGAAUCAAAAGCAGGAGAUGUUUGCGAUGAAGAAAAUGAGAGUGGCUGGGUCAGCAAGGUUUCUUCCACAUUGGCUGUUCCCAGUAAUAGGAGGCUUGUUCUUGAUGUGACCGGGAGGGUGACAUUUGAGACAGUUAGAUCGUUCAUGGAGUUUCUUUUACAGACAUUUUGUGCUUCUGUAAAAAGAUGUGCUCAUAUUGUUCACGAUGCACUGGUUGAGAUUGUGAGAUAUGCUGCAGCUAAAUCCUCUGUUAUUGUGACGAUAUGUCUGUCGUUGUGCCUGCACAUAAUGGGUGGCGCUUGGGCUUUGGUGCCUGCUUAAGUAGUUGUCACUAGUUUCGUUCACCAAAUACAUGUGAUUCAUCAUUUUGAACUAGAAAAUUUUUCUAAUGCUGCUGCUUCUUUGGCUAUGCAGCUACAUCAUAAUAUCUUCAUAUCAUACAUGGAUAAAUUUUAUUAAUGAUUUUGAAAAACAUCAUGAAGGGCCGGCUUGGCUCAGCGGUAAGCUUGCUUGCCGUGGUGUGUCAGGUCGCGGGUUCGAAUCAGCCUCUCUGCAAAAAGCAGGGGAAAGACUGCCUAGAGUAUUCCCUUCCCCAGACACUCACGAAGUGGGUAUUUGAACUGGGUCGGCCCUUUAUUUUGAAAAACAUUAUUGUAUUAAUUAUUAAAGAAUGUACAGUGACCAUAGACGUGAUCCUUCCUGCAGUUAUGUCUUCUCUUACAUUGUAGCCCUCAUAAUCAUGGGACAGCCACAUUCCAGAACUCCCUCGCAGAAAACCUGGCAUUCAUCAUCCAGCAGUCUUGUACUCUUGUUUGUUUAGGGGCGUAAUCAUUAAUGAUUAGACACAUUCUCGAAUUGGAAUCUUCUUUUAGUUUUAUGAUAAAACUGGAUGAGAGGUGGACUGCUGACUGAGAUUUCCUUAUGCCUUGCUAACUUUGGGUGGCCACAAUCCCCCUUGUGUAUAGUGAUUUUAAACUGUUGUAGGAGGGCAACGUUUCACUAUAUGGUAAUUAUUAUUACACUUCUUAACCUGUGUGUAAAUUUUGGCAUUGUACCAACUGGCUGAACCUCACCUAUAUUGUAGUUGUGCAUAAUGUGUAAAUCUGUACACGUCCUUAGUUUCCUAUUACUCUUUCUUCAUCAAUAGAGGUGGAAUGUUUGAUAUCUGACUGGCAAUGACAGAGGCUCAGAGCGAAUUGCACUUAUUAACAUGUUUGAUAUAUAGUUUGCUAGCUUCAUUUUAGUAUAAGUUUAAAUCAGCUAAGACUAAGACUACACUUAUCUUGGCAAGUCAUGGAACAUUGUCAUUAGCUAGUAAUGAGGUGGUAGUUUGUUAUUUGAUUAGUUAGGUAAUUGUUAGUUAUCAUCUAGGUAGUUGUUUCAUUGUAUAAAUAGGACUCAGAGUUCCAAAGUAACUCAUUAGUGAAUUAUAUGAAUUGGAUGAACUUGGUUCAUUUGGAAAUUUUCUCUCGAAGGAUCUUUCAUUGAUCCUCCC